GUCGGGGUAGCUCAGACGGUUAGAGCAUGGGACUCAUAAACCCAAGGUCGGCGGUUCGAUUCCGCCCCCCGACA
rnacentral:tRNA from 1 species